GUAGGGGGAGAGCUUGACAGGGGAGGGUUUGUGAAGCGAGAAGGUGAGUGUAAGGGUUUGGGGAAAUGGGUGAGAAGAACUAGGUGGGGGAUGAGAAUGUGACAAGGAUGCGUGAGGGAAGGUAGGAGGUGAGGGCAGCAGUCAAAUGGAUCCAGCUCAUGGGUUUUCGUAAGUCAAUGUUUCUUUCGUGGAAGCUGCCAUCUUGGGUUCUGGAAUCUGAUCUUUCAAAAUAUUAAGCACUUAGCCAUGGAGAUUGUGAAAAAAUCCUUGAAACUAUGACUGGAGCAUAAAGUGAUGCAGCACUGAUUACCUGAAGCAAUGGCUCUUUGAGAUAUUUACCCAGCAUGUCUGAUACAUGCGGAAGCCCUGAGAGUGUACUACACCAGACACCGCAUUUGAAGUGCAAAUAUUCCAACAGAAGCUUCAAUGGAUGCCAGCAGGAAAGGAGUUUUUAAAGAAAAGAAAUUCUCCUCUUUUCUCUCCAGGGGAAAAUUGCUUCCUGACAGCUCUGUUUUGAUCUUUGCUGUAGUUCACCUCCACUGACAGACUUCGGGCUAUUACAGUGUAUGAGCUUAUCUGAACUGAAUCUGUUGGACCUUUUGAAGUUCUCCUGGCACUACAUCUACAGCUUGGGCUUGAACUUGCACCCCUUGGAACCAAUGGGAGAUUUACUUUUGCCUUAAUGGGAAAUGUUUGAUUAUUGAAAUAUGGACUCCACUAAAAUGCAUGUGUAGAUUACAUCAAAAUAUGUGGAAAGCUCUAAAAAAGGUAAGAGCAAGAACAGUUCUUAGAAAUGGGUUAGUUGUAGUCAAACAGCAAACCUCAGCAAGGACGUGUUCAGUGAUAAACAAUUAUCUUGCAUUGAAUCUUGUGCCUAGUCAACACUCCAUUUAUUGACUGUGCAGCUGUUACUGGGAUUGCCAAAGCAUACACCUAUUAAAAAGCAGUAUCAAUAUACUGUGCAAUGAUAAUGAUAGAGGUGGCCAAGGAGUAUUGUUUUGUGCACCCAUGAUUUGCAAGAUGUGGCUUGCCCACAUUGACUAUGUCUCCUGCAGGCUAUGCUGGAAUCAGAGCAGGAGAAUUUAUGCAGGCCUGAACUGAAGUGUUUGCAAUAAACACACUUUCCAUUUGAGUUAAUGCACAAGAUUAACAAAGCUCUAAAAUUACCUGUGAUCAUGUGUGAGAUCCUUGUCUGUUUCCAGUACCAGACUUCAACAUUUUUGUCACUAAUAAGGAGUGAAUCUGUCAAUUAAUUACCAUCUUUCAAUUAAUUGUAAUUGUGACUUACCUUUCCCUAAAGAAAUUAUUGUGCAAUAUAAACAGCAGUACCACAGAACUAGAUCUGUUACUUCCUUAGGGUUUUGCUGACAGUGUGUUUGCUACCAAACAGAUGUCCCACUUUUCUUCAGGUAAUGGACAGAAGCACCUAAUGGGUAAUUCAAGACAGACAUCUCUACUCCAGCAUCUCAUUGACUGACACUCAGCUUUGUUCUUAUCUUGUCAAAUUAGCUCAGUGUGCUAUUGAUGGUUUUGUUACCUGAUAGUCUCAAUGGAGAUAGAAAGAACACUCAUGUUUUCAAGUGGCUGUGUAUAUUCAGUGCAAUGGCAACUAACAGGGGAUAACUUUAAAAAGCUUCCUAUUAUAGUGUGCAGUCACCAACACAUCACCCCCUCGUGGAAGGACACAGCAUCAUAAGAACUCUUCCUCUCUAGCACCGCCUCAUGUCCUGGUUCCACAUUGGUCUGCCAACUCCAUGGCCUAACUUUCCAGCUAGAUCAGCUCUCAGUCCAGACCUCUUCCAGGAUUAGUGGAAGACAAAUUAAAUCUCAACUCAAAAUAGCCAUUUGGGUGUCAAAGUCCCUAAUAUAAACCCUAAUCCUUCACAGAAACCCAAGGUCAAUGUUACCAAGGUUAAGAACCUGACUUGGCCAGGUAGCUUGGGUUAGGCUGUGCUAUCCUGUCCUGUCUUGGCUUCACCCAGAAAUGGGGCUCGUAGUAAAAGGAAACAGACCUUUUUAGCUCACCUGUUGGGCUCUGAUUGGCCUCUGCCUGCUCUUGGCCCUUCUAGGUGCCAGAGGACCAACUCUCUCUAGUUCUGCGUUCAGCUGAUCUUGGGAGGUCUCUCUAGGCAACCCCUGGAGGUCUGAAUUCACUGCUUUUCCUUUCAUCAGGGAACCUUCUUAGGGCAAAUUGUGCCAGGGUGGUGGGGCCUCUGGCAGAGGAUAGCACAUGGCUGGUCCAUAGUCACUUGUCUUGGUUAAAACCAAGCUAAUGACCAGCUGUUUACACACAAUACUCUUCCCUGCUCAUUAGAGAAUAGAAUUGUCAAGAAUUGGGCACUUUCUGUAGCUUUCUAACUAAAAUGGCUAAAAAUGUAUUGUAACCACUGAAUUAAUAUUCAUACCCAGAAUGAAAGCCUCAGAAGCAUCAGAUCUGAUGCUACAUCCUGUAAGGCUUUUUUUGCAAACACACUUGUCCUAUUAUAUCAUUUGGCUUAUCAAUUUAAUCUUCAUAAACCUUAUAUUGUAUAGGGCUGUGAGGUCCCAGAGGACUGGAGAGAACAAACUUAGUACUUAUCUUUAAAAAGAGAAACAAAGAGGACCUGGAUAAUUAAACACCAGUCAGCCUAGCUUAGACACCUGGAAAGAUACUGGAAUGAAGUAAGCACCUAGGAUAAUAAAUUAUAGCCAACAUAGAUUUUUCAAGAACAAAUCAUGCCAAACCACUCUCAUUUCCUUCCUUGACAGGGUUACUGGCCUAGUGGUUGGGGCAAAGCUGCAGACAUGAUAUAUCUUGAU